AAAGCUUAAACAUGUGACAAUGUUUAGGAAAAAACACCACCUUAAAAUUCUCAGAAACUAAAAAGACUUUGUUACUAUUAUUUAAUUUUGUCCAUAGUUUAAGAUUGAAUAACUUUCUCAAUUGAAAAUGUUUGAGACAAACUUGCAGAAACCCACCUGCUGAUUUAACACCCAAGAUGAAGACAGUGAUGAUGGCCCCGACGGUUACAGUAAACUGGAGAGUGUCGGUCCAGACGACUGCCUUGAGCCCCCCUAUGGUGGUGUAAAAGAUGCAAACGGCACAAACAGCAGGGGCUAUCAGGUGGACGUCAAUCCCAGAAGCUAAUUUUUUUAUAGUGUAAUAAUUUUAAAAAAUUUUGCUACAAACCAGCUGAAAAGGCUAAAGCGGGGAUAUAGACCACGAUUGGUAGAUACAAAAAGACCGAAACUGCGUAAAGAAACGACGCAAAUGAUCGCGUCUUCUUAUCAAAGCGUCUCUCCAAAUACUCAUAAGUGCUGAUAAUUUGCAGAUUGUAAAAAACUGGUAAGUAGACGUAGAUUGUCACUACGCAAAGAAUGGCCAUUGAGAUGCCCCCUAACCAAUAGGCGGCUCCAUAUCGGUAAAUAUCGGCCGGAAGUGCAAGAAGAGUAAUCCCGGAAGUGUGACUGGAAAUAGCAAUUGGUAUAACCCUCAUAGUUUUUCCUCCCAUGAGGUACUCAUUAGCGCUCGAUUGCUUACUCCCAAAGCAACCGAAAUAAAUCCCGAUUAAAGCACUUAGGACCAACAUGACCGAAAACAGGAUAUAGUCAUACCAGGAAAAACUGACUUUAGACAGUCUGGAAACUGUCUGGAUCAGAGUUGUAGUUGUUGAAGAUUCCAUUCUUGCACUGGGAGAUUACAAAUGGGGAAAUUCACAUAAAUGGGAUCUGAAUCAAGGAGAUAAUACCGGUUUGUUUGAUUUUGGGUAAAGAGUUUAAGUCUAAUUUAAAUAUGACUGAUAAUAAUAUACUAACAACGUCUUUUUUCCUAUUAUCAUUCAAAAAAAUAUAUAUUUGUGUUGACUGGGUGAAGUUUUGUUAAAAAAAGUGUUUCUGUUUGUUUUCAUAAUUUAAAAAAAAAGGAAAAUUUGAUUUUGUUGUAAUUAGAUCUUACACAAUUUUAUUUAGGGGCAUUGAAAUUUUUGGAGAUUAAAAUGAUUUAUGUUUUAUUGUUAAGAAGAAUAAAUAUGUCAAAGUUAUGCUUAGCAUUUCGACGUCAUGACACGCGACUAAAAGGAUAUUUACUUGAACCAAUAAAAUUUUAAAUUUACCGAAGGAAUUAAUUUGUGACGUUAAUUAGUCAAUGUAACGCAAAGGAAGUGUGUUAAAAACGUGAUAAUUGCAUUUAAAGCAAAUUUUUCAAAAAAAUUACCAAUUCUUCUAAAAAAAAUUUUUUUUGGAUAAUAUAACCAACCAUUCUGAUUUAGACCAAACAUGUUUGGGUUUAUAUUGUCUUGUUCUGUUUUUUAUAUCCUGAUUUAUCUCGAUUUAAGAACCAACGGACCUAAGUGUGCUGUUUUUGAAAUUUUUAUUUGUAGCAAAAAAGGGUUAAAAAGUUUUCUUGUGUAUCUUAAUUAAAAGUCGUCAUUUUAAAUGUACUCAUUACGUUUGGUCUUCUCAAAAAAAAAAUUAACUGAA